rnacentral:lncRNA from 1 species
ACGUUACAGAUGAUUAGGGCCCCUUUUGUAUAAUAGGGGAGCUCUAAAUAAGGUACAUUUUCAUUUACAAUAAAGAAUCUUAUUGUUACAACUGUCUAACUGCCUAGUACGGAAUCGUACAAUCCUAUUUCAGGAUUUGCGCCAUGAAUUUGGGGUGGCAAGAAUCUCACACAUUCUGCUAGAAAUCUAUGACUGCAUUAUUUUGGAGCCGAGCAUACGCAGCUUCGAUGUCCAUUGUACUUUGAUCCUCAGGCAUUGUAUUCUAUCUUCGAGCUCGGAUCUGAUUCAUCGGGCUCGAAGUUGAUUUUGCCUGAGCUCGGGCUUAAGACAGACCCUCGAGCCUAUAAAUCGGAGGCAUAUGAUUUUGACUGUAUAUACAAUAUAUAUUUUUAUGAAAUAAUAAUUUUUUUUACCAUACAAAAUAUUCUACCCGUUACAUGACAAAAAAAUACUGAAUGAUAUUUAGUAGAUAUAGAUAUUUUAAACAAUAAAAAAAUACACUGAUUUUAGAAACAAAAGCGUAAAUAUGAUAGUUUAACUAAAAAAAUUCUUUACUUGAUAAAUAAAUUUUGUCAACAAAUGAAGGGAUCAGAUCUGUUCCAGUAAGUGUCAAUGUUAUGCUGGAUAAAGCCACGUGUUAGUUUAGUAUUUUAACGGUAUAGAUUCAUUUACGUUUUCUUAAAUAAAAUGGAUACAAGUUGCUGCUUGGAAGAAACAUCAAUUAAGUUGAAUAUAUAUUUUUUCCUUUGAGGUGCAAAACUUGAUUCAAAUGGUACAGUUGAGAUGAUCAAACUGAAAUUAGUUACAAAAUAAUAAUUGAUGAAGUAUGUCGCCCAUGUUAGGAAAAGCCUAGGAUCGAAGGUCUAUUCAUUGAUUAUGAUAAGAAGAACAAUUAAUGAUAUCUAAAUACGUUACACCAUGUCUGGUCGCUGCAUAUUAACUCUUGCAUAUCUAAAUAUUUUGCUAUAUAAUAAAAAAACAUUAAUAAAAACACACAGCAGUCUCUAUAUCUUUAUUCUUAUAUACUUCUUUAUGUGGAAAAAACAAAAAUUGAAGUUUAAGUGUAGGUCCCUAUUAGCCUGAAAAGGACAAAGUAGGUAGCAUAUUCAGUACUUAUGUUCUUAAUAUCUUGGUUGAUCAGAUACAUGCUAGUUCAAUUAAAUAUUAAAAUAAUUUAAUAAUCUGAUUAGCCGCCCGUGAUUAUCCGUACUCAUGGUUUAUUCGCAUAUCUAUGGUAUAUCUCAUUUCAAGACAACGUGGUGUACGUGUUUAUCAAAUUACUAUUAACAAGUCAAAGGUAUUCUUUCCAUGAUAAUGACACCACGUUUAUGCAUAAACCACCACUAGAAAAAUAUCAUCACUUUGACCAUUAUUUAGUUUUGUAGGAAACUUUAGAUUUCUGGAUAUAUAAGCCUGAGUAUGUCUAGAUCAAAGGUAUCUAAUUGGCCUAGCCAGUCAUGGUAGGAAUUCUGUUAUUUUAGGACGCACCUUGAUACAAGGGAGGGUGUAUUAUGUCUUCGUCCGAUUUUUCGCGUGUUAAAAAAUCUUGUUCUUUAAUCUAAGAAUUCUAGACAUAAAAGAAAGUGAAGUGUUGGAAUUAAAAAAUACAAUUUUUUUAUGUGAAAAAUCUCGCUCAAGGAAGUAAAAACCACUGCCUAGCAUCGUGGGAUUAACCUUAAAAUUUUAUUAACUUCAAAGAGCGAUUUUUAAUUACAUUAUAACUCAAUAAUCAGAGUGACUAUAAACUCUAGUCUGUUUACCUUAAAAAGUAUAUUUAAAUUUGUUACAUGGUUUACAGACAAGCGAAUUGAUUUGAUCCAAAAAUAAUAAAGAAAUAAAAUUAAAAUUAAGAUUGAACGACUUAAAUUCAAGAAGAUAGCAGCCCUGGCUCUGAACUCAGUGUUUUCGAGAGCAUAAGUGAAAAUAAUGACAAAGUGAUAAGAAAGCUAUUAAAUUAGGAGCAAAAUAGUAAAGCAAAGCUUUUGUGUGCAGAAUGUUUCAUGUCCCCUAUAAUAUUUAAUGCUAGUAAAUGUUCUCUCAUUGAAUGUUAUCCUGUGAUUAUUGAUGGUUAUUAAGAUGGUGGUUGGAGAGUACACCCUAAAUGUUGUUAGUGCUUAUAUGCCGCAUGCAGGCCUAGAUGAGGAGGUUAAAUGACGCUUAUGGAAGGGGUUAGAUGAAAUUGUGCGCCAGGUUUUGCCUACAAAGAAGCUAUUCAUAGGAGGGGAUUUCAAUGGUCAUAUUGGGGCGACUGUAGAUUGCUAUGACGAGGUGCAUGGAGGCUUUGGUUUUGGGGAGAGGAACGGAGGAGGUACAUCGCUGUUGGACUUUGUUGAGGCUUUUGGGUUGGUGAUUGCAAACUCUAGAUUCUCGAAGAGGAAAGAGCAUUUGAUUACUUUUCGAAAUGCGUUAGCGGAUACCCAGAUUUACUAUCUCCUUCUCAGGAGGCAUGACAAAGGAUUGUGCAAUGACUGCAAGGUGAUUCUGAGUGAGACACUUGCGUCGUAUCAUAAACUUUUGGUGUUAGACAUUGUUAUUAGGUUAAAUAUGAGGAAAAGCUCUGCUUGGGAAAAACCAAGAACCGGGUGGAGAGUCUUGACUAAGGAUAAAACCCAAGAGUUGGAGUGACGGUUAUCAACUAUGGGAGCUUGAAGGAGUAGUGGGGAUGCAAACACUAUGUGGUCAGCGACAGCAAACUGCAUAAAGGAGUCUGCGAGAGAGAUGUUAGGGAUCUUGAGCGGUGUCUCUGGUGGGCACAAAAAAGACUGGUGGUAGAAUGAAGUGGUCCAAGGUAAAGUGGAAGCGAAAAAGACGGCAUACCUGAAGUUAGUUAGGAGCAUAGGUGAGGAGGAGAGGCGAGCAUGCAUGGAGAGAUAUAAGGUAGCUUGGAGAUAAGAUAAAAUGUCAGUCAUGGAGGCUAAGACUACGACUUAGUGUCGCAUAUAUGAGGAACUGGGGGAAAAAGGCAGGGAGAAGAAGUUAUUCCGGAUGGCCAAGUUGAGAGAGAGGAAGGCUCGAGAUUUGGAUCAAGUGAGAUGCAUCAAGGAUGAAGAUGGUAGAGUACUAGUGGAAGAUGUCUAGAUCAAAAGGAGAUGACAGACUUCCUUUUAUAAAUUUAUGAAUUAAAAAGGGGAUCGUGAUAUUGUGUUAGGCUAAUUGGAGCAUCCCGGAAAGUCAUCGUGACCUCGGGCACUACAGGUGUAUCGAGGUUGAGGAGAUCGUAGGGGCUAUGCGUAAGAUGAGUAGGGGCAGCUCGAUCGGGCCAGAGAAAAUUCCAAUAGAAUUCUGGAAGUGUGUAGGAAGAGCAAGUGUGGAGUGGUUGACUAGGUUGUUUAAUAUUAUUUUUAAGUCCAAGUGGACGCCGGAUGAGUGGAGGUAGAGUACGGUGGUUCUAUUGUAUAAUAACAAAGGUGAUAUCCAAAGUUGUUUAUAGGGGUAUCAAAUUACUGAGUCAUACCAUGAAAGUAUAGGAGAGGGUGGUUGAAGCGAGAGUGAGGAUGACAACGUCUGUAUCCGACAACUAGUUCGGGUUCAUGCUUAGUCAUUCCACCGUAGAAGCUAUAUACCUUGUUAAGAGGUUGUGGAACUGUAUAGAGAGAGAAAGAAAGAUCUACACAUGGUGUUUAUUGACCUAGAGAAAGCGUAUGACAAGGUUCCUAGAGAAGUUCUCGGGAGAUAGUUGAAGGCAAAAGGUGUGUCGUUUCCUUAUAUUAUGGUAACUAAGGACAUGUAUGAUGGGGCUAAGACUCAGGUUAGGACAGUAGGAGGCGACUCCGAGCAUUUUCCGGUGAAAAUGGGGCUACAUGAAAGCUCUGCGCUCAGUCCAUUCUUAUUUGCCCUAGUGGUGGAUGCGAUAACAAACCAUAUUCAAGGGAAGGUGCCAUGGUGCACGCUAUUCUCUGAUGAUAUUGUUCUGAUUGAAGAGUUACGAGCCGGUGCUAACAAGAGAUUGGAAGUUUGGAGACAGAAUCUUGAGUCUAAGGUUUUCAAGCUAAGCAGAACAAAGACAGAAUACCUCAGUGUAAUUCAGCGCUGAGCCGGGAGAAGUGGACGUUGAUGUGAGGCUUGAGUCACAGGUUAUCCUAAAUAAAGGCAGCUUCAAGUACCUUGGUUCAGUUAUCCACGGUGUAGGGGAGAUCGACGAGGAUAUCACACACCGUAUUGGAGUAGGAUAGAUGAAGUGAAGGUUAGCAUCUAGAGUCUUUUGUGACAAGAGAGUUCCAACAAUACUCAAAGGUAAGUUCUACAAAGCGGUAGUUAGACCGGCCAUGAUGUAUGGGACUGAGUGUUGUCCUGUUAAGAACUCACAUAUGCAAAAGAUGAAAGUAGAAGAUAUGAUGCUAUUGAGGUGGAUGUACGGGCACACUAGGAUGGAUAAGAUUAGGAAUGACGAUAUUCGGGAGAAGGUGCACGUGGCUCCCACUGAGGACAAGAUGCAAAAAGUGAGGCUCAGAUUGUUCGGGCAUGUAUAAAGGAGAAGCCUAGGUGCUCCAGUAAGGAGGUGUGAACGGAUGGUUGUGGAAGACACGAGAAGAGGUAGAAGGCAGCCUAAGAAGUAUUCGGGAGAGGUGAUCAGGUAGGAUAUGGCGAGAUUCAGAUUUUCGAGGACAUGAAACUUGAUAGAACGUUGUGGAGGUCGAGUAUUAUGGUUGUAGGCUAGGAGGUAUUUGAUUCUUGCAUUAUUUUGUACCUUUGUGAGCCUAGUUCAGCAAGGUUUUUCUAAGACAGCUAAGGUCAUGUCGUGUCUUACUAUUUUCUUUUCGACGUUGGAUCCAUUAACUAACCACCAUUUUUGCUUUGCAUUUUUCUUCUGCAUUUUAUUUUCCUGUUUUUCCUAUGAUCUCCGUGAUGAAUCUAGUGUGAGCAUGUGAUUUUUUCCCUAUAUGAAUUACUCAUAAUUCAAAACAAAAUAAUUUCUUUUUAUUACUUUCAACGUUGUAGAUUUUUCGUAGCAUUUUAUGACAAUUGCAUGCAUUAUAAUUCAUAAAAAACACAAAUAUAUUUUCAUUUGGAAUUUAGACUUAACUUUUCAUUUCACAAUUAUUUGGUAAUUGAGUCGUUUCAUAAAAGAAAAUCACAAAAAAUAGUUUUAGGUGGCAUUUUUAAUUUCUUAUUUUGAUUUUGAGUAGUGUUUCUUUCAAACUUGUUUUGUGAUAAUUACCAUAUGUGUUUAAUUAUUUUCUUAGGGUUGAUUGAGUUUUAGGAAUUAAUUUAGAUGUAUUUUUAGUUUUAAAUUUAAAAAGAAAUUGGGAUAAGGAAAUGAGUAGAAAAGGGAAAAGGGGAAGGAAAUCCCUUUAGGAUGCUUCAGCCCAAUUCCCAUAACCCAAGCACACCCCUUAACCUAGACCCACGCCCCAAAUAUAUGGAUCAUACCCUAUCUCUAUGCCCACGCUAACAGGACCCAAAAUCUCACAGAACCCUUAAAUCAACGCGUACUGUUCUUCUUUUCCGAAGAAUACGCGAACCAAGCCCCAAAUUCCGUUCAAAUCCGGGCGAGUGAAUCUCAAAUCCCUAAUUCACGCGUCCCUCCUUCUCUCAUCUUACCAUUUCUAACAAUUUCUGAUACUAUAGAUGCUCCCCCUUCAGUCGGUCAAGUGGGAGAUGAGGCACGCGAUUGGAAGGUCCUAGAGACGAUUCGUUGGAUGAGGAUGAGUCGUUGGAUUGAUUUCAUUCAAUCCAAGCCCCAUUUUCAUCAAGGAUUCGUGUCUACAAAGGACAAUAUCCGAUUUUGAGAAGCAUGUUUAUUUUGGAGGAUUUGGUGGCAGAUUUUGAGAUGAAGUCGAAACUCUAGAUAUCAGUCUUCUUCAUCUUUAUUAUUGAUUUUCAUGCGUAAUAUUAACUUCAAAAUAUAUACAAAAAUGUUCGAUAUUCUGUGCUUCCACUGUUGUUUGAUUUACCGUCUAUUAGCUUCGAAAUACCGUCUUCAAAGUUACUGGAACUCGUUGUUGGUCGAGGCAUCGAUUUGUGGUUGCUGUUUCUUUGUGUCGAUCUCAGUGUUGAGAUUCUUUCAAAUUUUCAAUCCAGGUUCACCCUUGUUCCUUAUUUUAUUUUGUUAUGAAGUGAACCCUGGACGGCCCUGGACAGAUUCUAAGAUGAAUUCAAUUACAAUAAUAGAUGAGGCUUGUGUGGUUAUCUUCGACUUUAUUUACUGUUAUGCUUUCAACAUCUUCCAUGAGUUCAUAUGAACAGUGAGUUAGUUUCUAAAUGGCCGAAGAUCAAACUUGUUUGGUUUCAACGUCGUAUAUGUGUUUAUAUGGGCUUUGUAGAUUGUUUUUGGUAUCAUCUUUCGGUUUAACCCUGCAUCGAACAUGAAGCAUGCUAAUGUUGCAAACUUGGUAGAUCUACAUCCCUAUAUAGUGUCAAGGUUGUUUCCUUGUUGCAUUUUGUUCGAGAAUAAGCUUUGAUGAGCUAUCGCUGCUGAUGUUUGAACCCCGCGUGAGUGUUUAAGACACCUUUGAGAUGCUGAGAAUUGGACGUCAUCUAUGGUCUAGAAUUUAACUGUCAAUACUUCCUCUUUUGUUUUCUCUUUACUAGUUUUGGGUUUUCAGUCGGGAUAUGCUGUUAAUUUAACUAAACAUCAGCAGUUCCCACUAAGUGGUGAUCAUUCUUUAAUGAUAUAAAUUUGAACCUAUCCUAGUCCGUCUUGUGGACAAAGAUUCAGGGGUGCCUCUUUGAGCUGGUUUGCGUCUGCCUGCGAAUGUGUGGUUUGAGCCAUGACGCUGGACUUUAUUUUUGAAACAAGUGCCUGACCUGCUGAGCUACUCGUUCUAUCUGCACGCCAGUUGUAAUAAGUCAUCUUCCCCUAGAUGUUAUGUUGUUUUUGUGAUUGAUCCAGCCUAGUUGUUUUCUUUGCUGGAAAUUGUUAGUAUCAUUAGCUAUUAGAUUUAUCAUCGUCUUAACUUCGUGGCACAAUUGUUAAGUUUGGUUUUUGUAAAAUUGUCAGUCGGCUUUAUUCUCCUUCACGUUGAGUUGCUUCCUCUUUAGUCUUAAUGAAUUAUUUUAUGGCAUUACUCGCUUGCAUGUUCUGACGUAUUGAAUGAUUUUCUCGUCGAUAUCAGCCCUCCUAUCAGUCCUCUGAAAUGCAGAGGUCAUGAAUGGGAUUAAAAUGGCUCAUUUGGUUCUGUUUGUGAAGUUCAAAUCCAUAUGGUAACUUCAGCAUUUGUUGAGCAACUUUAUUAGCUAACUGUGUAGUUGCAGUUGAUUGCUCGACGAAUUGGUCAUUGAUAAUAUCAUAUGCUUGAAAUGGAUCUAUUCUGGAACAACUCGCUUUUCCAAUAAUUGCAUUCAUAAGCUACCGAUGGGGUUUACAACUAUAUGUAAUGCAUCUCGCAUCUUUCACUCAGGUUGGUUGUAUUUCGGAACCUGGAGUCCACGUAAAAUAUUUCCUCCUUUCUUGUUUCGGUACAUGCUUUGCAACUUGCUGUUGUGUUGGAGCAACUCGGUACUAGCAGGACAUUGACUAUACUUUCCAAAAUCAGCGGCAACUUUUCAUAUUAUUGAAGCGUUAAUAAAAAAAGCUCAAUUAAUUAAUUAGUUGGAGACAUAGGCAACUAGAUUGAGGUGAGCCAUAUUAGAUAUAGUUUAUGGCUCUCCUAAAUUAGCAUAGAAACAUUUGAGUAUAGUAUUUUUGAGGUGUACCAUGCCAAAUAAAAAUGACAAUUGCAUCGCCCUCAUUUAAUUGACAUUUUGAUCUUAGAAUUUGAGGCGUAACAAUUAGCGAAUUCCAUAACCCUCGCAAAGUGCGAACGCGUAGUUGCUUUAGGCGCGUGUCUAAUAAUAUUAUUUUCCUAAAUUAGAGUGCACAUUUAUGUGACCAAAAUUCAAAUCCCGACGAAGUUGAAAUGUAUCAAAAAUCACAGGUGCAUUUCUGUGAUGUGGUUCGGGACAUGUUUUAACGACGUUGUAAUUCUCUUUAAAAAUAAUAAUAAUAAUAAUAAUAAUAAUAAUAAUAAUAAUAAUAAUAAUAAUAAUAAUAAUAAUAAUAAUAAUAAUAAAAAAAGCGGUUAAAAAUUUUGAAAUUGACACAUAGGUCCAUAAUUGUUUAAAAUUAGAUAAAUUAAGCCAAAUAUAACAGUUGAGCGACCGUGCUAGAACCACGGAACUCGAGAAUGUCUAACACCUUCUCCCAGGUUAAUAGAAUUCCUUACCCGAAUUUCUGGUUUGCGGACUCUUAAAUAGAGUCAUUAUUUCUUCGAUUCGGGAUUCUAAACGGUAACUUGGGACACCAUAAAACUCCCAAGAGGAGAAUCUGAAAUCUCUUCAAUAAUUGAAUCCCGUUUCGAAUGCCUUUAAUUGGAAAAACUCCCUUAUCUACGCCCUUUGCGGGGUUGUAGAGCCAAAAAGAGGUGUGACAUCUAGUAUCCUCUCCUUUUGUUUUCUUUUUAUUAUCUUGAGCCGAUGGUCUUUCGAAAAUAGAAUGUCUACUCUUUGCGGGUAGGGGUAAGGUCUGCAUACACAAUACCUUCCCCAGGACCCACUCGUGGGAUUUUACUGGGUUGUUGUUAUUGUUAUUAUUGAACGUUAUCCGAUGGCCAACCCUUGAACUUCUAUAAACGUCCAUGUACCCUUCGAAAUUCGUCCGGUCCGAUCACACACACAACAUUCGGUAUUAGUCAUUUCUUGAUUCAUCUUUUGGUUAUCCUUGAUUCCAUAUGUCAUUUUACCAUCGACCACAUGUCAUCAACCGAUUUUACCCUAUACAGAUACCUUAUCCAACAAUCAACCCAUUUGCAUCUACCCCUUUCAAGACUGCAAAUUUUAGCCUAGAAAGUUAAACAAACUCUUUAGAACUUGAUAAUCAAUGAUUACACUUCUUAAUAAGUAAUAUGGGUUACGACUAAAGAACAAUAACUCUACCAUAAAAAACUAAAGAAGUUCUACAACUUCGUUUACUAGACCAAGUUUUUGAUAUUUGAGCAGCUUGAGUCCUUAAAAGUACAUUUCUUUUUAUGAAUUGUUAUUGCCUUGAAUAAAUUCUCUCAAUUGUGUGAAUAGUGUGAGUUUUCAAUAACAACAAUAUGAUGUUUUACAUAGGAGUGAAGUCGGUGGAAUCCUUUUCUAAUUUUAGCUCCAAACCUAAAAUAAGUAGGAUACCUUUAAAACAAAUCCUAAAACGAUAUCAUUUAUUUCCUUAAAAGACUCCUUACACUUUUUUCUUUCCAUGCAAGAAUGUUAAUCAUGAUCAAAAUUUAUUUAAGCUCAGUUCAACAGAAUCCCGCGCCUCAUAAGAUUGACAUCAAGUUUGAGAGGUGUUAUUGUGCCGAUUACAUUUUAAGUAGCUCUUCUUAUAAUUGUAAUUAGAAUCAGGGACCUUAAGUGCAAUUGUUUGUAAUAUAUUUUUGGGAUCCUUUGGAAGGCAUAGUUCACAACAUUUUUUUGAGUAUUAAACUAUGGCAGCAUGCACGUUACAUGUUAGAAAAAAUUAUUCUUUAUGAUAAUUGUUUAUCGUAAGAUAAUUUUUGGGCCCCUUUAGAAGGCAUAUUUCAGAACUUUUUGGAAUAUGAACUAUGGCAGCAUGCACGUUACAUGUUGAGAAAACUUUAUUCUUUAAAUGAUAACUUAGUUUAGCAGUAGAAGAAUACGGGCAGGAAAACAUUACUUUAUAAAUAGACGAGGAGAUAGUCUCCGUUGUCUUUUGCAUAACAAAAUAGAAAAUGGUCUCCAUCGUCUAUGCCCCAGACCCCAUCAGGACUAUACUGGAUAGUUGUUGUUGGUAUCCAUCGUCUAUGCCCAACAUCGCCUAUGUCAACAUAGUCAAGAAAUUGUUCAUGUUAUUCCCUUUCUACACUACUUAAUAAAUUAGUUUUUAAGUUCAUUAAUCUUCAAAUACGCGUGUUGUUCGUUUACUUACUAUUCAUGCCUUAUGCCUAUAAUGUUUUUAAAAGUCAGGGAGAAUGCAUAAAUGCCUCCAGACCUAUAGUUCCAUUCUCAACUACACGACUUUUGUUAUCCUCUUGAAAUAUUUUAAGGUCAGAUAAAUUCACCUUUAAAGUACCACUAUUACACCUUCUUUUUGAUUUAUAUGUGGUUACCCCGAAGGAUGAUACGUGUAUAGGAGUUUUUUUAAUUAAAGUGAUAUUAUUCGAAAUGAGAUUAUUUAUUUCAGAGUCGUCACUUGGGAUAAGUUUGGCUUUUGGUGUCCCGAGUUAACGGUUUAUUUUGAAUCCCAAAUCGAGGAAAUUUUUCGACUUCACGAAUGGAGUCUGCGAACCAGAAAUUCUGAGUAAGGAAUUCUGUUGACCCGAGGGAAGGUGUUAGGCACCCUCGGAUCCCGUGGUUCUAGUACCGGUCGCUUAAACUAUUAUAACUGGCUAAAAUUCUUAUUUUUAUACAUGUUCAUCCUAUAGUGCAAUUUUAAAUUAUUUUUAUACUGUUUUUAUUUAACUAUUUUUAGGAAAGAUUCAACAUUGUUUAAAACGCGCCUUGGACCACGUCACAUGAAAUGCACCCGCGGUCCACGACACAUUUUUAUUUAACGUUGUUUGAAUUUGUAUUUGGAUCACAUGAAAUGCACACCCGAGUUUAGGAAGAUAAUUUUUUUUAAAAGCGCACCUAAAGCAACUACGAGUGUUUAUAAACUAAUUAAUCUAUGAAUUUACAAGAGACAAAAUAAUUAUUAAUUUCUCUGGCCUUAAUCAUCCCAUAGCCAAAAUAUUCAGUAGCCAGACUUACCAUUUGAAAGGUUAGGCUAACUUCUGUCGAAAACCAAAUGAACUUAAAAGCUACAUUCUCAAAAGAUGCCAUAUGAUCCAUUAACAAACGAAUCAGCUCCUAAUGUACAAUUGGCCAUCAUGAAUAUUUUUUCCUUCUUAAUUUAACAUUCACUACAUGCCAGAAGGUAACAAUUUAUGCCAUAAACCAACAAAUCUCAACGAUAGGAUGGAACAAAAAUUAGUAGAGAAUUUUUCUAAUCUCACCAAUCAUAUAAAGAUAAAAUCAUAAAUUCAUGAACUUAGUAUUCAAAAUAAAAGUAUAACGGAAGAGAAGAACCUCAAUGACGGUUGCCGAGGAAAAUACUUGAACAAGAAUCGAAGAUCGUCGAUCCAGACCUCGGAACGGCAACCUCGACGUUAAUGAAAAUUCAUAUCCGUUUUCCUUUUAUUUGUAUAUGUAGUGCGGCUGUUAGCUUUAGGACGAAAAUAUUCUAUUUUUUGUCAAAAACUGAUACCCUUUCUUGGAUCCAUUGAGUCAUGGAACAACAAGGCCAAGAAUGGCGUUCUGCAUGAGAAUUGCAGCGUCAUUUUUUCAGCCUUAGGUCGCUUUCGUUAAGUCAAUCUUUUGCGUGUAUCUUCCAUAGAUUUUCA